rnacentral:rRNA from 1 species
AAUGAACGCUGGCGGCGUGCCUAAUACAUGCCAGUCGAGCGAACGGACGAGGAGCUUUCUCCUCUGCCGUUAGCGGCGGACGGGUGAGUAACACGUAGAUAACCUACCUAUAAGACUGGGGUAACUUCGGGAGACCGGAUAUAAUACCGGCUCAUAUGUUGAACGGCAGGGAUCAAUAGUGCUAGGCGGUUUUGCUGUCACUUAUAGAUGGUUCCGCGCUGGAUUAGCUAGUUGGUAAGGUAAAGGCUUACCAAGGCUACGAUGCGUAGCUGACCUGAGAGGGUGAUCAGCCACACUGGAACUGAGACACGGUCCAGACUCCUACGGGAGGCAGCAGUGGGGAAUAUUGGGCAAUGGGCGAAAGCCUGACGCAGCCACGCCGCGUGAGUGAUGAAGGUCUUCGGAUUGUAAAACUCUGUUAUUAGGGAAGAACAAAAGUGUGAGAAAAUAUGCCCGUCUUGACGGUACCUAAAGAGAAAGCCCCGGCUAACUACGUG